rnacentral:rRNA from 1 species
CAAUUUCUGACGCUGAGGCGCGAAAGCGUGGGGAGCAAACAGGAUUAGAUACCCUNGUAGUCCACGCCGUNNNNGAUGAGUGCUAGGUGUUGGGGGGUACCACCCUCAGUGCCGAAGCUAACGCAUUAAGCACUCCGCCUGGGGAGUACGGUCGCAAGACUGAAACUCAAAGGAAUUGACGGGGGCCCGCACAAGCAGUGGAGCAUGUGGUUUAAUUCGAAGCAACGCGAAGAACCUUACCCGGGCUUGAAGUGGAGGUGGUAGGAGCCGGAAACGGUGACGACCCCGCAAGGGGAGCCUUCAUCAGGUGUUGCAUGGCUGUCGUCAGCUCGUGUCGUGAGAUGUUGGGUUAAGUCCCGUAACGAGCGCAACCCUUGUCAUUAGUUGCUACAUUUAGUUGGGCACUCUAAUGAGACUGCCGGUGACAAACCGGAGGAAGGUGGGGAUGACGUCAAGUCCUCAUGGCCCUUAUGCGUAGGGCUUCACACGUCAUACAAUGGUCGGUACAGAGGGUCGCUAACCCGCGAGGGGGUGCCAAUCUCAGAAAGCCGAUCGUAGUCCGGAUCGCAGUCUGCAACUCGACUGCGUGAAGUCGGAAUCGCUAGUAAUCGCGGAUCAGCAUGUCGCGGUGAAUACGUUCCCGGGCCUUGUACACACCGCCCGUCACACCAUGGGAGCGGGUUUUACCAGAAGUAGCUAGGCUAACCGCA